GACGAACGCUGGCGGCGUGCCUAAUACAUGCAAGUCGAACGCAGUGGGGACGGGUGGGUAACACGUGGGUAACCUCCCAUCCGCAGGGGAGAACAAUUGGAAACAGAUGCUAAACCGAUACUCAUUGAUGGACCAGCGGUGCAUUAGAUAGUUGGUGAGGUAACGGCUCACCAAGGCCAUGAUGCAUAGCCGACCUGAGAGGGUGAUCGGCCACACUGGGACUGAGACACGGCCCAGACUCCUACGGGAGGCAGCAGUAGGGAAGCUUCCGCAAUGGACGAAAGUCUGAUCGAGCAACGCCGCGUGAGUGAAGAAGGUUUUCGGAUCGUAAAACUCUGUUGUUAGAGAAGCGGUAUCUAACCAGAAAGCCACGGCUAACUACGUGCCAGCAGCCGCGGUAAUUC
rnacentral:rRNA from 1 species